rnacentral:rRNA from 2 species
CAGUGGAGCGUGUGGUUUAAUUCGAAGCAACGCGCAGAACCUUUACCAGGUCUUUGACAUCCCUGACAGCCUCAGAGAUGAGGUAUUCUGGUUUCCAGACAGGGAGACAGGUGUUGCAUGGUUGUCGUCAGCUCGUGUCGUGAGAUGUUGGGUUAAGUCCCGCAACGAGCGCAACCCCCGUUCUGUGUUGCCAGCGUAAAGUCGGGCACUCACAGGAGACUGCCGGAGACAAUUCGGAGGAAGGUGGGGAUGACGUCAAAUCCUCAUGGCCCUUAUGACCUGGGCUACACACGCGCUACAAUGGCCUGUACAGAGGGAAGCGAAAGAGCGAUCUGGAGCGAAUCUCACAAAACAGGUCUCAGUUCGGAUUGCAGGCUGAAACCCGCCUGCAUGAAGCCGGAAUUGCUAGUAAUCGCAGAUCAGCUACGCUGCGGUGAAUACGUUCUCGGGCCUU